AAUAUGUAUAAAUUUUUAAUUUUUUACUUUAUAGUGAAUUUGCUCGUGUUUCUUUGGAGAAAGGUCUUGGAGUUGUUGUAGUUGGAUUUCCAGCAACACCAAUAAUUGAAUCAAGAGCUAGAUUUUGUCUUUCUGCAUCUCAUACAAAAGAAAUGCUUGAUAGAGCCAUAGACAUAAUCAAUGAUGUAGCUAACCAUUUGGGGAUCAAAUAUUCUACAAAGAAGUUAACCAUUUUUCAUGAAGAUGAAGUAGAAUUAAUAAAGUGAUUGCUGUACCUUGCUGAGACAGGCACAUCCAUCUUUUGUUGGCUGCCUCCCUCUUCACCCAAGAAUCACUACCACUACUUGCCAUGCAUUGUCUACUUCAAGUUGGUAAUUUGUGGAUGGAUAUGAAAAUUUAGCCUGAAUUCUCUUGUUGCUGAUAAAUUUAUUGACCACUUUUUCAUCUGCUUGACAAAGUUCUAUAGCUACAUGAGCUAGGGCUUGUAUCAAAUAUGCACUUAUUGGUUCUUAUCUCUCCUUUGUGUAUAUAUAUAUUGAUAUAUAUGCGUGCACACACACACAUUCUCUCUCUCUCUCUCAUGAAAGCAAAAAUUGUAACCCUUACACACCAUAAUGAUAACCAAUACUGCUUCCUACCAUCUUUCUGUUAAUUCUCCUCAUUACACUUCCAUUAAUACAGAAAAAGCAAAAUUAUUUUUACAACCGCAGAUCAAAUGAUCGUUGAAGAUUUAUUCUGAAACUUAUCAAGGACAGUCAGUGACUUUUUUUUUUAAUAAAAUAUAAUAAAAUAUAACAAGUUUUAAGUAUUCUAUUUCUUUUCAUUAAUAUGAAGGACUGAUCUUUACAAUUCUAUACUAAGAAUGUGUGUGUGUAUAUCUAUCUAUAUAUAUACACACACAUGCACACACACACAAACAUGCGUAGUUCAAUUUUUUUCUUUUGUUUUUUAUCAAUUUUGCUCCUAUAUUAUAUAAUUUCAUUUAUUGUUGUUAAGAUUCCUGUAUUUGGAUAAAAAAAAUUCUUUUAGUUCUUUACAAGGAUUCUUUUAUUUCCCUGUUUUCUUAUAUAUAUAAAAAUUUUUUCCCAACAUUUUCUUUCUAUGGAAAGGAAUCUAAAUAUUGAGAUAUUUGUAUGGAAAUUGGGACAUGUGGUAUAAAUGAAGGUCUUCUUUGUAUGUAAAAUGUUAAACAUUUAUGUGUGUCUGUAGAUAUAUACAUAUAUAUUUAUAAAUACACAGAUAUAUAUCUCUAUGUGUAUGUACAUGUGUAUAGAAAAGUAUGUAUGUGUACACACACAUGAACACACAACUGUCCAACGAAUGGUUUGUGAAACUCUAACAGUUUCUGGAGAUUUUUCAGUUUCAAUAAAAUAGUAUUUUACUCAA